rnacentral:rRNA from 1 species
UACGUAGGGACCAAGCGUUGUUCGGAUUUACUGGGCGUAAAGGGCGCGUAGGCGGCAAUUCAAGUCAGCUGUGAAAUCUCCGGGCUUAACUCGGAACGGUCAGCUGAUACUGCUUUGCUAGAGUGCAGAAGGGGCAAUCGGAAUUCUUGGUGUAGCGGUGAAAUGCGUAGAUAUUCGGAAGAACACCAGUGGCGAAGGCGGCUCACUGGCCCGGUACUGACGCUGAGGUGCGAAAGCGUGGGGAGCAAACAGG